CAGCGGCGGUGCCUCCUAGUGUGGACGCGCGGAACGACUCAGAUGCGUAACGUUAUUGAUCCCUGAAGACAGAGCGGGGUCCAUCCCAUCCCAGACGCCCCCGUCUGGCCGUAUACAGUCAAUUACAUUACGGUUGAAUUGGUGAGGUGGAUAAUGGGCUGUAGUUGAGAGGGAUCAUGGCAUCAUAACUGAGGAUCUGUUCAGAAAAACACUGUCAGUCUAUUACUCUCUUCCACAGUGAGCAGGUGAGUCUGAGCACCGGGGGCACCUAGAAGCUCUUUGCCACCACUGCCUUCAGCACGGUCUCUCUCAAGUACCUCGCAAGAUUCUUCAGGAGGAGGAAGUGCAAGAAAAAAGCCAGUUCGCCUGUAGAGCAGGAAACAUUUGAGUUCCUCACCACUGUCCCCCUGAAAAAAGGACAUCAGUAGUUUUGUAGCAUUCAUUCGGAAGCUGGAAUCCGUGCUACAGAGAGCCUAUCAGCUCCAGCAAGAGUUUGAGGGAGCACUGGGAAUGACACACCCUUCAACACGUCCUAGUAAUGGUGAGCGCUAAACUAAAGACAGUUGUGUCAAUAGAUAACUGUGUGGAAGUGAAUGAUUGAUCUUAUGUAACAUUAAUUACUGGGCUUGGCUCUGUGAACUAUAACUGUACUCUAAAAAUGUACUUUUUUAUUGAUGUGUGACAGGUUAAUAAUGUAAAAUACGUGAAAAAUAUAUGUUUUUCGAACAACCUAGUAUGAGAGCCUGUUCUAGUACACCCCCAAAACAAAAUCAAGAACUUGUAAAAGAGCAUAAUAGGACCCCUUUAAGAAGUUAAGAGGUUUCUUAUAAAAAAUAGCACAUACAAUUGCAACUGUCUGAUUGUGGCACAAAAUUAGCCAUCUAUAUCUAGCCAAAAGUGUGCAUGAAGCAAAUGUCAUUGUGAGAAUACUACACACAUACUGUACGUGCAUAGCCAAAUGUUUCUAACUGCAUUUACUAUGUACAAUCAGCUGGCACAUGCACCUUGAAUUUUUGGCAACAUUGGCCCGGACCAUUAUUUCCCAGUCAAAAAAUAAACAAAUGAAUUGGAACAACAGACCACUGGAGAUUAAAACAACAACCUGCUUGUGUAAGGGAAAAAAACCAAGUGCACUGAAUAAACUGAGUAAAAACGUAAUGCGUUCCCAGUCCUUGGAUUUUUGGGUCUGGA